CUAAAUUAAUUGAUAAAAAAUUAUAACGAUUCCCAUAUACCAUGAAAAAGAGUUUAAAAUACAUUAAUAAAAAUGUAGAAUGUGUUUAGAAAUUUUAAAACAACACUAAAUAUUAUAGGCUUUAGUAUAUGAAGUAUUUACCAAAAACUCAAUAUCUUCGUAAGGGUUCACAUAGAUUUUGAGAAAAUUUAAAAAAUAUGACAAUAUUGUUUUAAUGCAUAGUUGCAUCGUGCACUAACAUAAGAUGAUGCUCAAAGAGGUUUGGAGCCUUUGUUUUCUCCGUUUGUUUAAGAAAAUAGUGAUUUUAUAGUGGUUAUUCCAUCGAUUUAGUGUGUAUUAUGAAGUUUUACUAAAUUAAUUAAUAAUAAAAUUAUAACGAUUUCCAUAUACCAUGAAAAAGCUUAAAAUACAUUAAUACAAAUGUAGAAUGUGAUUACAAAUUUUAAAAAACAACUAAAGAUUAUAGGCUUCAGUAUAUAAAACAUUUACAAAAAACUCAAUAUUUUCGAAGGGGGUUUUAGCACAUAGAUUUUGAGAAAAUUUAAAAAAAUAUGACAAUAUUGUUUUAAUGCAUAGUUGCAUCGUGCACUAACAUAAGAUGAUGCUCAAAGAGGUUUGGAGCCUUUGUUGUCACCGUUUCUCGAGAAAAUAGUGAUUUUAUAGUGGUUAUUCCAUCGAUUUAGGGUGUAUUUUGAAGUUUUACUAAAUUAAUUGAUAAUAAAAUUAUAACGAUUUCCAUAUACCAUGAAAAAAGCUUAAAA